rnacentral:rRNA from 1 species
UCAGGAUGAACGCCAGCUACAGGCUUAACACAUGCAAGUCAGGGGCAGCAUGUGGUUGCUUGCAACCAAUGAUGGCGACCGGCGCACGGGUGAGUAACGCGUAUCCAACCUCCCCUUAGUAGAGGAUAGCCCGGCGAAAGUCGGAUUAAUACUCUAUGUUCUUCAAUGCGGGCAUCUAAGUUGAAGCAAAGAUUUAUCGCUAAGGGAUGGGGAUGCGUCUGAUUAGGUUGCAGGCGGGGUAACGGCCCACCUGGCCUACGAUCAGUAGGGGUUCUGAGAGGAAGGUCCCCCACACUGGUACUGAGACACGGACCAGACUCCUACGGGAGGCAGCAGUGAGGAAUAUUGGUCAAUGGGCGCGAGCCUGAACCAGCCAAGUAGCGUGCAAGGACGACUGCCCUAUGGGUUGUAAACUGCUUUUAUCAGGGAAUAAAGUGAGGCACGCGUGCCUUUUUGUAUGUACCUGAUGAAUAAGGACCGGCUAAUUCCGUGCCAGCCGCGGC